UCAUCCUCAUUUAAGCGGUCUCGGGUAGAUUUUCACUAUAAAUUUUGAAUAUCCAACUGGCACUUUGGGCGCUCCGUACACACUGAAGACAGGAAGUGUACCCUAAUUCCUUUUAGUCACGUUUGUAUCUACCUAUUAACUAAAUGUCUGCAUAAUAUUAGAAAGAUUGAGAGAUCAGGGGGCUCUCACCAUUGCCCUGUGCCCUUUGUCCUAAAAUUUU
rnacentral:lncRNA from 1 species